UCCAUGUUACUUUUUGGGAAAAUUUGUUUGAAACAAAACCCAAAUUUCUAGUCUAGAAACUUUUUGAAAAUCGGUCAAAUUUGGCCCGAGGACAGCAGCAGGGUUAA